rnacentral:rRNA from 1 species
AUGUUGUCAUCCAAGGACGCUUCCUCCACAUGGGCAGAGGAGGUGACUCACUCGCUGACGCCGCCCAUUUUGGCCCGGAAACCUGCCGGUUGGAAUCAUCAAUUUUUCAUCAGAGUAGAUCUUGGGGGAUUUUUCCACACAUAUCCUGAGCUGGGUGGGCCGUUCCGGAGCUUGGAGGAAGCUAACAAGGCUAUACUCUGCCACCUUGAAAAACUACGUGAUCGGAAAAUGUGCACAAACGAUGGGCUUUCCAGUUCGGAGAUUGCUAUAUGA